UCGAGAAUAUUUAGCAAUGGACGAAAGUCUGACUAUGCGACGCCGCGUGCAGGAUGAAGGUUUUCGGAUCGUAAACUGCUUUUGUUAGGAAAGAAAAUGCUAAACCUAAUAAGUUUAGAACUGACGGUACCUAACGAAUAAGCCACGGCCAACUCCGUGCCAGCAGCCGCGGUAAUACGGAGGUGGCAAGCGUUACUCGGAAUCAUUGGGUGUAAAGGGCAAGUAGGCGGUUUAAUAAGUGAGGGGUGAAAUCUCCCGGCUCAAUCGGGAAACUGCCUUUCAAACUGUUAAACGUGAGGAUGGUAGAGGAAAGCGGAAUUUCCGGUGUAAGGGUGAAAUCUGUGGAUAUCGGGAAGAACAUCAACGGCGAAGGCAGCUUUCUGGGCCAUCUCUGACGCUGAAUUGCGAAAGCUAGGGGAGCAAACA
rnacentral:rRNA from 1 species